rnacentral:misc_RNA from 1 species
UCUCCGUUGGUGAACCAGCGGAGGGAUCAUUACAGGACUCGCAAGACUCCUACAACCCUGUGAACUUAACUAUAAGCACGUUGCUUCGGCGGGGCCGCCCCGGCGCCCUCGGCGUCCCGGAACCAGGCGCCCGCCGGAGGACCCAAACUCUUGUUUAAACCAUAGUGGCAUAUUCUGAGUCUCACAAGAAAAAUGAAUCAAAACUUUCAACAACGGAUCUCUUGGCUCUG